rnacentral:rRNA from 1 species
GACGAACGCUGGCGGCGUGCUUAACACAUGCAAGUCGAGCGGUAAGGCCCUUUCGGGGGGUACACGAGCGGCGAACGGGUGAGUAACACGUGGGUGACCUGCCUUUAGCUCUGGGAUAAGCCUGGGAAACUGGGUCUAAUACCGGAUAUGACUCCGCGGUGCAUGCUGUGGGGUGGAAAGCCUUGUGCGGCUGGAGAUGGGCCCGCGGCCUAUCAGCUUGGUUGGUGGGGUGAUGGCCUACCAAGGCGACGACGGGUAGCCGGCCUGAGAGGGCGACCGGCCACACUGGGACUGAGACACGGCCCAGACUCCUACGGGAGGCAGCAGUGGGGAAUCUUGCGCAAUGGGCGAAAGCCUGACGCAGCGACGCCGCGUGAGGGAUGACGGCCU